CCUACGGGUGGCAGCAGUGAGGAAUAUUGGUCAAUGGGCGCGAGCCUGAACCAGCCAAGUCGCGUGAGGGAAGACGGUCCUAUGGAUUGUAAACCUCUUCUGUCGGGGAGCAAAAGACGCCACGCGUGGCGUUCCGAGAGUACCCGAAGAAAAAGCAUCGGAAAACUCCGUGCCAGCAGCCGCGGGAAUACGGUGGAUGCGAGCGUUAUCGGGAUGUAUUGGGUUUAAAGGGUGCGCAGGUGGAAGAUCAAGUCAGGGGGAAAAUUGAGAGGCCGAACGUCUUCGAGCCGUUGAAACUGGUAUUCUGGAGUGAGUGAGAGGUAGGCGGAAUGCCUGGUGUAGGAGUGAAAUGCGUAGAUAUCACGCAGAACUCCAGUUGCGAAGGCGGCAUACCGGCACACAACUGACGCUGAUGCACGAAAGUGUGGGUAUCGAACAGGAUUAGAUACCCGAGUAGUC
rnacentral:rRNA from 1 species